rnacentral:rRNA from 1 species
UCUACGGGUGGCUGCAGUGAGGAAUAUUGGUCAAUGGGCGGGAGCCUGAACCAGCCAAGCCGCGUGAGGGAAGAAGGUACAGCGUAUCGUAAACCUCUUUUGUCAGGGAACAAAGGCGGGGACUAGUCCCCGGAUGCGGGUACCUUAAGAAAAAGCAUCGGCUAACUCCGUGCCAGCAGCCGCGGUAAUACGGGGGGUGCAAGCGUUGUCCGGAAUAAUUGGGCGUAAAGAGUUCGUAGGCGGCAUGUAAAGUCAGGUGUUAAAGGCGCAGGCUCAACCUGUGUAUGGCACUUGAUACUUGCAAGCUGGAAUGCGGUAGAGGUAAAGGGAAUUCCUGGUGUAGCGGUGAAAUGCUUAGAUAUCAGGAGGAACAUCGGUGGCGUAAGCGCUUUACUGGGCCGUAAUUGACGCUGAGGAACGAAAGCCAGGGUAGCAAAUGGGAUUAGAUACCCUUGUAGUC